rnacentral:rRNA from 1 species
GAUGAACGCUAGCUACAGGCCUAACACAUGCAAGUCGAGGGGUAGCAUGAUAAAAGCUUGCUUUUAUUGAUGACGACCGGCGCACGGGUGCGUAACACGUAUCGAAUCUGCCUCACACUCGGGCAUAGCCUUCCGAAAGGAAGAUUAAUUCCCGAUAUGCCAAUGAAUCGCAUGGUUCGUUGGUGAAAGUUUUGUCGGUGUGAGAUGACGAUGCGUUCCAUUAGCUUGUUGGUGAGGUAACGGCUCACCAAGGCUUCGAUGGAUAGGGGUUCUGAGAGGAAGGUCCCCCACACUGGUACUGAGACACGGACCAGACUCCUACGGGAGGCAGCAGUGAGGAAUAUUGGUCAAUGGGCACAAGCCUGAACCAGCCAAGUAGCGUGAAGGAUGAAGGCCCUUUGGGUCGUAAACUUCUUUUUUGCGGGGAUAAUUGUAGGGACGUGUCCCUACUUGUAGGUACCGCACGAAUAAGGACCGGCUAACUCCGUGCCAGCCGCCGCAGUA